AUGUAGCCCAGAGGCCAGCAGAGACAUUGGGUACUGGGGUGUUUUGUGAGAAGAGGACCAGUAUGCAGAAAACCAAACUUGGGCUGAUUUGAGGUCAAGGACAGGGGAUAUACUGAUGCCACAAGAGUCACAGCUGUCCUACAGCAGCAGUUCACAGACAGCACUCACUGUGAUGAGCAGGAUAAAUGUGCUCCCAGAAACGGACUCAACAAACGUCUACGGAGUGACUGUUACUAAUGUGCCCAGACACUGUUUAAGGAGAUAGGGUCAUGACCCAGUCAAGGGGAGCAAAGACAUUGUGAGGUGAAGCGGGUGGAGCAGACAAUGAAGAGAAAUCUCAACCACUCAUGGUCCUUCCCUCAAGACAUCUUGGUCAAGGCCCUGAAGGAGUCAUGCCACUGAACAGUGAAUCUCGAUCUGUUACCAGGCUAUAUGUCACCUGUAGUGGCAGACUCUCUGAUGGCUGCCGGCAAGGGGAGCCAUUUGUCUCCAAGGAUCCCAUCUUCCUGCAAGUGCCUAAAAAAGAAAGGAAUCAUUGGCUGCUUCCAGAACUGCAAAGCCAGAGAGCACAUGAGUGGCCCCAGCUCACCUCCUCCAAACUCCCAUGAUGCCUUAGGUGUAUACCAGGUAGGCAGAACAGAAACAUCCUAGAAACAGGUGGAGCUCAGAGAGGGGAUUGCUUCCUCUGGGUAGGGCACGAACUCUAAGACCACGUUUGGGCUCUGCCACCGCCUACUUGUAAGAUGCUGGACAAAUUAACCUCGCCUCUCGGCUCCGUCAUCAGUGAAGCUGGGAUGACAGAAGCACCUGCUUCCCAGGAUCAGGGCGAAGUGAAGCGAGCUAUGUCUUCCGAGUUCUUAGAACUGCCUGUGCAUGUAGUAAGAGCCACACCAGCACCAGGACACAAAAAUAAAAUGCAGGAGUGUAGAGUCUGCCAAGGGGCAGUGCCUGGGCACUGA